rnacentral:rRNA from 1 species
CCGGCGAACGGGUGAGUAACGCGUACGUAACCUGGCCACAGAUGGGGGAUAGCCCUGGGAAACUGGGAUUAAUACCGCAUAAUAUAUUAAUAUGGCAUCAUAUAAAUAUUAAAGGAGAGAUCCGUCUGUGGAUGGGCGUGCGUUCUAUUAGUUAGUUGGUGAGGUAACGGCUCACCAAGGCGAUGAUAGAUAGGGGGCGUGAGAGCGUGAUCCCCCACACGGGUACUGAGGCACGGACCCG